UGAAAGAUAAUUAGAUCCUCAAGGGAAGACAAUGUCAUUCUGCUUUUGUUUUUGCAGUCAUGAAAGUGGUAUUAUUGUUGGGGCUUGUGGCCUUUGCCGCGGUUACAUCCAACCGAGCGAGGCGUGUGGAGAGUGUGACUCAUGUUGGAAUUACAAACAUUGUGAAUAACUGAGUUUCCCGUAAGUUUUGGAUGUUAAGCAUGCUUUCCUUAGAAUAUGUUUAACUUCUCUAAAAUGAUUUAAGACUUUACACUGAUUUUUUGCUUUUCAUUUUCUUGCGUUAUUCUGAUCUGAACUUCAAUCACAAAAUUUGUCAUUAAUACUUCAUGAUGGAAUUGCUGUGCUAUUUUGCAAAUGGUAAAAACUUAAAUGGUAACUAAUGACUAUCCUUAUGCUGUUCCUCCUCUUAUUCCUUUCCUUCCUUUGAUCAGGGCGUAAGUUCUGUUUGCCUAGUCGCAUCACCGCGCCCAAAUAAGUUGAUGGCUGCAUGCGUAAAACCGCUUCAAAAUUAGUACUAACAGCAAAAUAAACAAUUGACUUGAUACCUAACAAUUUUUCGAGGAAAUUAGCACAUUUUUGUGUUUUUUUUACAAACUGCUCUUUCUUUCUUGUAGCUCCGCCUUGUUUUUUUUAACCAAUUUACGAAUAUAAUAGAUAUGAAUAUUCUAAUAAUUCAUAAAGAAAACAUCGGUAUUUCUGUCUUAGUGGGUUGUGAGGAGGUACUAUGCCGUUUUCAUAACCAGAGUAACCCUCAACAAUUUCUGGGGAAAAGGAAAUUCUUGCGGCAUGUUCAACAAAUGUUCGGCCAAGGCUUGCGGCUGUAUUGGAUUAGACAUUGGCCGAAUCGGAGGGCGGACAUUGCAAGGACAAUGGUUCUCCUACCACAGAAAGAAGCACCUGCAGUACAUGCGUCGAUUCUGGGCCCUUGUUAACGAUAACAAUGCUGAGAUGACCUUCUUCUUAGCCGCCGAGGCCUCGUGGAAAGUACCGUUGGUAGUAGUAAAAAAAGUCGUGUGUGAUGAGUGUGGAACCGUCCGCAUAGAAACAUACGUUGUACCGGACACAGAGGUGAAAGUAAGAACUGUGUCCGUCGAGUUUAGAGCUAUCAUGCUUAUCUUAAAGAUUAAGUUUAGGAUAUUGGUGAUUUGCAAUGGCCUAAAAGGAGUUGUCAGUAACAAGCCGUUCGCACUUGUGUUGGCUACGAUGCCGUUCCCGGGUAAGAGCGACACGUGGACCAAGAUAAACGCUGCCUUGCGCCAUUACAACUUCGAUCCGCACAAGAUGAUGUUCCUGAGGCACGACGCCUGCAUCUAUCCACCCUUCGAUUGGGCCAACUCCUGGGUCGCGCCUGCUAACACCAACUGCAACAUUUGCAAAAUUGACAAGUAGUCUCUUUCCCCGGCGUCACUUUAAGACACGUCCCACAACUGCCGUCAAAAAAAGUAGCCUUCUCAAAUUAUGGAGCAAUCCGACCGAAAUUUGGACGCAAAUUUUUAAAUCUUAAGUACUUUUCACAUUAUGUUUUCUUCAUCUAAAAAAGGGUGUUUUUUUCACCAUUCAUUCAGUAUUUUUAAACCUUGGAAAAACGGAACUCGGAAAACUUACCGCUUUUAAAAAUGCUACAUUGUGUAAAAUGAAAUAUAUAAACGUAUUUGCAACAAAAAAAAAUCAUUUGUUCACCUUUGUUGUCAAAACGAAUGGACCACAUUUUGCAAUAAGGAGCCACUAUCUCUGGAUCUUCCAUAAAAACACCUUUCUACAUAGGAAAACCGAGGGCAUUUAUGCUGUUUCUAAAAUGAGCCAGAAAUGUCGGUUCCUUAUUGCAAAAUGUAAUCCAAAUAGAGCAAUCCAAAUCGACAUUCACAAAAUUGACGAGGAUUAUCUGAGAGAAAGCCGGCAUCAUCAAAAAAUUGUCGACAUCAGUAAUUGAAAGAGCACGCGCAUACUGUGCACCCCUACCUUUGCUCAGCAGCGUAACAAUUAGAAAAUAUCGCAUAACCGAGAGUACUGGUAAAAAAAAACAGAUUGGAUCUACAGUCCAGACUCUUGAAAACAUUGACAAGAAAAUUGACUCUUGAUUCAAUCAGAUUUAAGCUUAAUCAAAAGGAAAUCCGCUCAAAUUAAGAGGCCUGGUUCUUGAUUUAAGCUUAAAUCAAAUUGAAUCAAGAGUCCAUUUUCUUGUCAAUGUUUUCAAGAGUCUGGACUCUAGAUCCAAUGUGUUUUUUUUUACCAGUGAAAGAUACCACGGUGGCAAGUCAUUUUUCCUGUUCCCUGCUGCAAGUUUUUCUGAUAGUUUUUUCCUACUCGUUUUUUGUCCCAUCACAGUCAGUCCUACAAGUAAGAUGUCUUACUGGCUUUUUUCCUAGGGGUAUUUGUUCAAAAUUAAUUUUUUUAAAAAAAAGAACAUAGAAUACAUAGAUAUACCUCACAAGUUAAAAUUGUGGCUGUAUUCGCCGCAUGCCCGAAAGAAGCUUCAUCCUUUUCCUUUGUAUUGAGGGUAUAGAAGGUUCAGAUUAUGCUGUCUCCUGUUCACGUGCUUAUAUUCGGCUCGCUGAGGACAUUUUACACUUUCUGAAACAUUUCCUUCUGCUCUACUAAUGUUUAAGUUCAAUAAUUAUUGGAUUAUUGGGACAAACACCCUUAGGAAAAAAGCCAGUGGGGCAUCUCACUCGUAGGACUUACUGUAAUGGGACAAAUAUACGAAUAGGAAAAAAGUAUUAGGAAAACCUGACGUAGGAAAACAGACUUAGGAAAAAUGACCUAGCACUGAUUCCACCACCACGAAGAUACCAACCGAGAGCCUAUCAUCAUAUUUUGGUAUCGCUGGUCCCACAAUUCAUUAAUUUGUGCAUGAUUAUUUAAGCGCUCACCAUGGGUCACCUUAGUAGGCACCCAUAUCAUGCGACCUUUAUCGCCGUUGCGAGAGCACAACAAAUCAGUUCGCCUUCAAUUUGUUACAUAUGCAACACGAACAUCUAGGACCACGAAUAGUUGCAUCAUGGAUCCAUGGAUUAUAUUGAUGGUGAAUUGAAGGCGAACUUGAGGAGAUAGUUGUAGCGCAAAAAGUGAACGAACUUUCAACGAGUGCCGGGCUAAAUGUUUCGAGGGCACCCUCCGAAUGCCAUACGUGAUUCGGACGAUUGCGUGACGUCUGGUCCAUGAAUAUUAUAUGAACCGCCAUCUAUUUCUUUGUAAUCAUCCUUUUUAUACCACUCCGAUUCGAUACACUCCGCCUAUUCCAAUAUACUCGGAC
rnacentral:lncRNA from 1 species